UUCACUCAAGGGAAGAGCUACUAAUAUGCUGAUUGCCAACGUGCUGAAGGCAGUCAUAGCCUCUAUCUGUCUUGGAUCCAGCAUGACCCAGAAGGUAGAUCAAGCCCAAUCUGCAGUUUCCGUGGUGGAGAAGGAGGCUGCAACCUUGGGCUGUGUAUAUGAAGCUAAAAGUUACACUUAUUAUUUAUUCUGGUACAAGCAACCACCAAGUGGGGAAAUGACCUUCCUUAUUCAUCAGGAUUCUUUUGAUGAGCAAAACAAAAUAGAGGAUCAGUAUUCUCUGAACUUCCAGAAAUCAGCCAAUUCCAUCAACCUCACCAUCACAGCCUCACAGGUUGGAGACUCAGCAGUGUACUUCUGUGCUCUGAGAGACCACAGUGAUGUGGGUGCCUGCGGGAGCCCCACAUAAUCAUCAACAUGAGAUAGGGCCCCUGAGUAGAGACUCUAUCACAGACAGGAUGAAGCAGGGGCUGUGUCAGCACAGGUGGGGGUUUGGCAAGGAAACCUUAGUUCAGUUCAUAUUGAAUGUCUAGAUAUAUCAUUCAUUAAAAGCAUAUGAGGUCGGACAAUUAAGUUGGUGAACUUUCCACCAUGUAAGUGUAUCUUCUAUUUGUUAGAAUAGAUUAAGAUAGAAUAUGUAGCACAUUGAAAAUUAUAAAAUACAUGAACAA